rnacentral:lncRNA from 1 species
GUUCGAUCCCUGCCCUUGCUCAGUGGGUUAACGAUCCGGCGUUGCCGUGAGCUGUGGUGUAGGUUGCAGACUCGGCUCGGAUCCUGCGUUGCUGUGGCUCUGGUGCAGGCCAGCAGCUACAGCUCCGAUUCGACCCCUAGCUUGGGAACCUCCAUGUGCCGCGGGAGCGGCCCAAGAAAUGGCAAAAAGACAAACAAACAAACAAAAAAAAAAAAAACAUGUGUCUUUCUACCACACUCUGGUCUCCCAGUGGCAAAAAACAGACUCCGACUGCCUGAUCUCAAGUCUGUGACGUGGUGACUACCCUUGAUUCGGUGAGAUUUCCUCGGGAGAACAAUUUGGCAGUUUCCAUGAUGACACUUGCUUAUGCUCGUGUAUGAAGCUCUGCUCCUCCACCUUCUUGGCUCUGAGUUAAGAAAUUUAGGUGGUUACUCAUAACUGCUAAACACAGUCCUGGAAAACAUAGUACAGAGCAGAAGGCAGCAGCAAAAGACCACGCGUUAUUCGCUUCAAUUAAAUGAAAUGUCAGGAGUUUCCAUUGUGGCUCAGCGGCAACAAACCCAACUAGUAUCCGUGAGGAUGCAGGUUCCAUCGCUGGCCUUGCUCAGUGGGUUAAGGAUCUGGCAUUGCCGUGAGCUGUGGGGUAGGUCACAGACACGGCUCGGAUCGCAUGUUGCUGUGGCUGUGGCGUAGGCCAGCAGCUGCAGCUCUGAUUCCACCCCCAGCCUGGGAAUCUCCAUAUGCGACGCAUGCAGCCCUAAAAAUCUUGCAUAAACAAAUACAUACAUACGUACAUACAUAAAAUGUUCGAAAUAGGCAAAUCUAUAGAGACCACCAAGUGUUGGUUGGUGCUUGCCUUCGGCUGGAGCGGUUCGGGGGCGGGUGGAAUGGAGAGUGGCUGCUGAUGGACAUGGUGCUUCUUUUGGAAGGCAAGGAAAAUGCCCUGAAAUUGAUUGUGGUCGUGGUGGCACAACUCUGAAUAUACCGAAAACCAUUGACUUGUAUACUUUCUGGGGAUGCGUUUUAUGGCGUGCGAAGUCCGUCUCAAUAAAGCUACUACUAAAACAUCAUAGGAAGGCUGGGCCCUAAGCCCUCGUUCCCCAGGUCACCUCCACUCAUGAAGGCAUGAGCGCCCCACCGUCGAGGGUGCAGGUGGGUAGCAUCGGGGCUCCGCUGCCUGUCCUUCUUCUCCCCUUCUCUUCCUUCCCUUCUCCCUGCGCUUCUUCUGCCUUUGUCUCCUGCUCUUGCUUUUUCCCUCUGUUUCCUUCGCUUGCCACUGAUCCCACCAGCCCGUGGUCUUUCCUUGACCCCCAGGAAGCUCAAAGGGGAGGGAACGAGAGAACAGUGAAAGUUAAUCGCAACUGUAACGAGGAGUGAUUUGUAUUAUUAUAAAUUAGUAUCGCUGUCCAGGACUUCACCUGCACGACGCCCACAUGCGGGGGGUGAUUAUCCACAUUUGAUGGCUAGAGAAACUGAGACUCAAGCAAGCAGAGGGACAUGCCCCGUUUGUCAGGGGCAAACCAGAAAGCAAACCCGGGUCUGUCUGGCCUCGAAGCCUAUUCUCCGAAGCAUGAAAAGACCUUAAAUAUGAGGCUGGGCUUGGUUAUUUAUUGAUGGAUUAUAAUAGAAGUCAUUUGAUGGGGUUCGAAACUGCAGUCGCUAAGAUCUCAUCUGUUGGUCUGAUAUUUACGGCCGUUUAUGGGUGAUGUCUCUGUGGCGCCUCCAUUCAUUAUGGUUUUCAUUAAGACGCGAAUCCUAUUUGGAAGUCUCUUUGUCAUUUUUAACUUCUCUGCUUAAUUUCCCAGCCCUAAUCCUUCUUCUCUACAAGCCGCGGGGGGACAGCUCCCCGUGGCUCUUUUUUUCUCAGAGUUGCGUGCAGGCAGGGGCGGGAGGGGCGAGGCAUGUGUGUUAUGAGUGUGUGUGACAUGAGUAUGUGUGUGAGCACGUGACGGGAGUGUGUGUGAAGUGUGUGUGCUGUCAGGGCGCGGGUGUGGAGGGUGAGUGGCUCCUAAGACUGUGUGUUUGUGUUCACGAGCGUGUUUGCCUAAGAGGAUGCAUUUGUGGCGUGAGGUGUGUGUGUCAGGGGGCUGCCAUUCACCGUAUCCUUUUUUUUGUUUUCAGAAGCACACAAAUUCUUGAAUUGAGGCCUAACCAUUUGCUUCCCGAGCACAGGGGCCGUGCUCCCCUCCCCGCCACCUGCCUGGCUCUCUCCCCUGAGACAAUCUUGGACUUGGAAGAGGGUCUUGAAUCCAGCCUCUCACUUGUUAUAGACCUGGAGCGCCUGCUUAGAACUCCCCAGUGGUAGACAUCUCCCUUCUUCCCUGCAUGGUUGGUUUCUAUAAAAGUCUUCUGUUGGGCUAUUCUUCCUUGAGAGAGGUCCAGAGUUGUAAGAAAAGAAAUCUAGGAGUUCCCUGGCAGCUCAGGGGGUUAAGGAUCCAGCCUUGUCACUGCUGUGGCUCAGGGUCCUGCUGUGACUCAGGUUCAAUCGCUGGCCUGGGAAUUUCCACAUGCUGCAAGUGUAGCUAAAAACAUAAAAACAGAAAUCUCAAGGGGACGUUAUUUUUUUUUAUUAAAGUAUAGUUGAUUUGCAAUGUUGUGCCCAUUUCAGCUGUAGAGCAACGUGACCCAGUCAUACACACAAACACACACACACACAUACACACACACUCUCCCUUUCUUAUGUGAUCUUCCAUCACGGCCAGUCCCAAGAGACAGCGUAGAGUUCCCUGUGCUGUACGUAGGACCUCGUUGCUUGUCCAUUCUCAGUGCAACCAUUUGCAUCCAUGAACCCCAAACUCCCCGCCCAUCCCGCUUCCUCCCCCUCCCCCUUGGCAAAACCACAAGUCUGUUUUCCACGUCUGUGAGUCUGCUUCUGUUUUGUAGAUAGGUUCAUUUUGGCCAUGUUUUAUUUUUUAUUUUUACCAUAUUUUAGAUUCCAUAUAUAAAUGAUAUAAGGCAUUUAUCUUUCUCUGUCUUACUUCACCUAGUAUGAGAAUCUCUAGUUGCAUCUGCAUUGCUGAAAAUGGCAUUAUUUUGUUCUUUUUAUGGCAGAGUAGUAUUCCACCGUGUGUAUGUACCACAUUUUCUUAAUCCAUUCAUCUGUCAAUGGACGUUUAGAAUGUUUCCAUGUCUUGGCUACUGUGAGCAGUGCUGCAGUGAACAUAGGGGUGCACGUGUCUUUUUGAAUAGUAGUUUUGUGCUAACAGAUGCCAAGGAGUGGGGUUGCUGGAUCACAUAGUAGGUCUAUAUUUAGUUUUCCGAGGAACCUCUAUACUAUUUUGCAUAGUGGUUGUGCCAAUUUACAUUCGCAGCCACAGUGUAGGAGGUUGUAAAGGGGACAUCCUUUGUGGUGCCUUUGGCUACCCCCAGCGCACACCCCAAAGCUCAUUCCCUCUGCUUUGCCUCAUGAUGCUUUCCUGCCCAGGUGACUACACCCUCCUCUUCUUCCUGAAGUCCCACCUCCUCUAGGAGCCUUCUCUGCCCCUCAGCCCACACUUGACUCCCACCUUCUCUGGGUCCCCGUAGGGCUUAUAAGAGGCACAGCUUUUACCACCUAAAAAUGGUCUGUCUCGGAGUGACUUGGGUAAAACUCUGGUCGACCCAAACUACACAUGUCGGCUUCCCAAUUCCCUAGAGAGUUUGGGCAUCAGGGUUGCCAGAUACGGUGGUUGAGGUUGUGUACUGCCAAAGGCAUGUGGCUGAGGGCCAAACUGAGUUCCCACUUACCUUACCCAGCCAUGCAGCUGGAGGGUGUGCCUUUUCCAAAUUGCACGGAAGGACCGUGUGGGCUAGAGGUGGCCAGGGAAUGGAAGCCUCAGAGGGUUCAAUCCUGUUGUCUCCAGGCCUCUCAGCCAGAUGAACGCUUGAUGAGGGACCCAGAGAAGGUGGCCUCCACUCCCAGUGCCUUGGCAGAGUCGGCCUGGCGCCCACAGCCCUCCUUCCCAGGGCCUCACCCCUCUGAGUAAUCUCAUUGCACUCUGCUCAUCACUUAGCUCCACAGGCCCUCCUCCGGCUGCAGUUUAAUUUUCACUUCUCAGUAUCUGCCCUGAAGUAUCCUUAAUCUCCCCCCCCAAACCCCCACCCCCUGCGUCUUUGUUCUGUCCUUCUGGCUAGUUAGCAAGCUCUAGGAAGGCUUUGGUUUCCUUUGUUUUCAGCCACCUCCCUGUGACAUCUACCCAGGACUCAGCCCCGGUGGGAGGGCCACAUCCGUGCUGUUGUCACACUGAGCCAUCAGCUGAAGGAGCUGAGAGGCCAAAGUUCUGUGCUCAGAGCUGUGAGACAAGGCGCCGACCUCUCUCCCCAAACACCAGCUCAGCCAGGCUUCCUUUGCACUCCACUCCUAGUUACCUGCCAAGUGUCCCUAAGGAUUCGGGAUUUCUGGGGAGACUCAGCCCAUCCCAUGGUCUCUGUUGGGUGACACCCAGUGCUGGACAAGGGAAUGGCGAAGGGGCCCCCAGAUCCUUCCUGACGUUAACCUUUGGGUACUGCCGCGUGAACCCUCGAUUCAGCUUCUGAGGUGCUUAGCAGGGACUGAAGCUGUGCCCUCUGGGGGCGGGCUUGGCUUGGAUGGAGGCAGAGCAUCCCAGGAGGGGCCUUUAGCUGCGUCUUCCAUGCAGCUUGCUCGUGCCCCUGCAGAGCAAUGCAAGAGGUGCGUCUAGCCUGCAGCAGUGGGGAAAGCAUUUGUCGCCUUUCCUCCCUCAAGACCUCCAACCCUGGGCCCCUGGCUGACCCCCUCCCCCUCCAUCUCCUUUCAGCCUCAGGACCCCCUCAACACGCUCUCGCACUUGGCAGUAAAGUCUUCAGGCAGUCACUAAAUAGCAGUGUUGAUGCUCCAGCCCCGCACGCCCUGAAAUGAUAAUGCAUCACCCGUGGUGCGCAUCCAGACGGAGCCAGAUUACGCUCAGGUGGUUAAAAGUCCAGGUCUAAUUAGAGUUCCAGGGAAUCAAGCCAUUGUAUUAUUAAUGAUUCUCCAGCAAUGUUCUGAUUAAAACAGUAAUUUUAAUAAGCACAGCUCGAUGCUAAGUGUUCACUGAGCACCUAAUUACAUCAGUUAUAACUCCAAAAUUAUUUAAAAUUCCCCUUUUUUUCCACCAGACCCGGCAUGC